CCUACGGGUGGCAGCAGUGAGGAAUAUUGCUCAAUGGACGAGAGUCUGAACCAGCAAAGUAGCGUGAAGGAUGACUGCCCUCUGGGUUGUAAACUUCUUUUAUAUGGGCAUAAAAUGUUCCACGUGUGGGAUUUUGUAUGUACCAUAUGAAUAAGAAUCGGCUAACUCCGUGCCCGAACCCGCGGUAAUCGGGAGGUUCCGAGCGUUAUCCGGAUUUAUUGGGUUUAAAGGGAGCGUAGGUGGAUUUUAAGGCAGGUGUGAAAGUUUGCGGCUCAACCGUAAAAUUGCAGUUGAAACUGGCAGUCUUGAGUACAGUAGAGGUGAGCGGAAUUCGUGGUGUAGCGGUGAAAUGCUUAGAUAUCACGAAGAACUCCGAUGGCGAAGGCAGCUCACUGGACUGCAACUGACACUGAGGCUCGAAAGUGUGGGUAUCAAACAGGAUUAGAUACCCCGGUAGUC
rnacentral:rRNA from 1 species